UACGGGGGGGGCAAGCGUUGUUCGGAAUUACUGGGCGUAAAGGGCUCGUAGGCGGCCAACUAAGUCGGAUGUGAAAUCCCCAGGCUCAACCUGGGAACUGCAUCCGAUACUGGAUGGCUUGAGUUCGGGAGAGGAGCGUGGAAUUCCCAGUGUAGAGGUGAAAUUCGUAGAUAUUGGGAGGAACACCAGUGGCGAAGGCGGCUCACUGGACCGGUACUGACGCUGAUGCGCGAAAGCGUGGGGAGCAAACGGG
rnacentral:rRNA from 1 species